UGCUUCUCUCUCUGCCUCUGCCCCUCCCCACAAUUUGUAUUCUCACUUGCUCUGCUCUCCCUCUCUCUCUCAAAUAAAUAAUCUUAAAGGGAAAAAAAAACUGGAUGUGAGCAAGACUGUUCCAGAAGCUGAAGUAGUAACAAGAGACUAGAUACAAGAUGAUUGGCCAACAAACGAUAAGCAUUGUUUUCUCCUCAGUGACCUCGCAGCAAACACCAGUCUUCCAUACCACAAAUGCGAGCUAGGUCACAAAACCAACAGUGCUUUUUCUGGGUACCUCUUAGACACUCAAAUCCUGCUUAAAUGGUCUCUGGUCUGGUUACCAGAUUAUAGGUAGGGUCCUCGCCUGGGACUGAGAACUGGCUUACUGCCCUACUUAAGCAAGGUUGAAGUGAUUUGUCCAUUAAAACUCAGAGUAGGUCAACCUAAGUUAGUAUUUUUCUUCAUACUAUUUUAACCUUUUAUUAUUAUUAUUUUUUUAAAGUGAGCUCUAUGCCCAUUGUGGGGCUUGAACUCCCAAACCAGAGAUCAAGAAUCACAUGCUCUUCAGACUGAGUCAGCCAGGCACCUCAGUGUUUAUUUAGUAUUAAUAAAAUCUAAUGUGUACGGAACACUCACUAUGUACCAGACCAUUUAUGCAUACAUUAUCUCAUUUAAUUGUCCCUAAAAGGCAGGCAGGGACAAGGGGCCCCGCCCCAAAAGGAAACCACCCUUCCAAGGAUUUUACACCACCCUGGAAGGAGCCUGCCACCCUUUCCCACAUGAUAGGCAGGUGACAAAAACCUGAUUGGGUGACAGGUGCAUGAGAGUUAAUCAGAUUAAAACAGCCCAUCUGCAAGCCCCCCCACCCCCCCCACCCCCAGCAAAAAAAACCCAGACUUAGAAACUCCGGUGGCAAUCCUCUCGGGUCCCCUUGCUCUUCGGGAGCUUUGUACUCUCUCACUCAAUAAACUUGGCUUUGCUGCCCACCACUCUUCAA